UACGAAGGGGCUAGCGUUGCUCGGAAUCACUGGGCGUAAAGCGCACGUAGGCGGAUUGUUAAGUCAGGGGUGAAAUCCUGGAGCUCAACUCCAGAACUGCCUUUGAUACUGGCGAUCUUGAGUCCGGGAGAGGUGAGUGGAACUGCGAGUGUAGAGGUGAAAUUCGUAGAUAUUCGCAAGAACACCAGUGGCGAAGGCGGACUCACUGGCCCGGUACUGACGCUGAGGUGCGAAAGCGUGGGGAGCA
rnacentral:rRNA from 1 species